CUUCAUGAUAAAUAAUAUCCACAUGGAGACAUCUGUUUCUUUAUUCAGUGCCUCAGGAUUGAGUUUUCUCUCCGUGUCAGCUACAUUUUCAUUGAGAAAUCUAUAGACAAGAAUUUAGGUAAAACAUGGAGACAUCGUCGUUGUCGUCGUCGUCGUCAUCAUCAUCAUCAUCAUCAUCACAACCACCACCAUCAUCACCAC
rnacentral:lncRNA from 1 species